CCGGAUGUUAGCGGCGGACGGGUGAGUAACACGUGGGUAACCUGCCUGUAAGACUGGGAUAACUCCGGGAAACCGGAGCUAAUACCGGAUAGUUCCUUGAACCGCAUGGUUCAAGGAUGAAAGACGGUUUCGGCUGUCACUUACAGAUGGACCCGCGGCGCAUUAGCUAGUUGGUGGGGUAAUGGCUCACCAAGGCGACGAUGCGUAGCCGACCUGAGAGGGUGAUCGGCCACACUGGGACUGAGACACGGCCCAGACUCCUACGGGAGGCAGCAGUAGGGAAUCUUCCGCAAUGGACGAAAGUCUGACGGAGCAACGCCGCGUGAGUGAUGAAGGUUUUCGGAUCGUAAAGCUCUGUUGUUAGGGAAGAACAAGUGCGAGAGUAACUGCUCGCACCUUGACGGUACCUAACCAGAAAGCCACGGCUAACUACGUGCCAGCAGCCGCGGUAAUACGUAGGUGGCAAGCGUUGUCCGGAAUUAUUGGGCGUAAAGGGCUCGCAGGCGGUUUCUUAAGUCUGAUGUGAAAGCCCCCGGCUCAACCGGGGAGGGUCAUUGGAAACUGGGAAACUUGAGUGCAGAAGAGGAGAGUGGAAUUCCACGUGUAGCGGUGAAAUGCGUAGAGAUGUGGAGGAACACCAGUGGGCGAAGGCGACUCUCUGGUCUGUAACUGACGCUGAGGAGCGAAAGCGUGGGGAGCGAACAGGAUUAGAUACCCUGGUAGUCCACGCCGUAAACGAUGAGUGCUAAGUGUUAGGGGGUUUCCGCCCCUUAGUGCUGCAGCUAACGCAUUAAGCACUCCGCCUGGGG
rnacentral:rRNA from 1 species